rnacentral:rRNA from 1 species
GAUGAACGCUGGCGGCGUGCUUAACACAUGCAAAGUCGAACGAAUCUUGAGGAGCUUGCUCCUCUUGGUUAGUGGCGGACGGGUGAGUAACGCGUGGGUAACCUGCCCUAUGCAGGGGGGAUAACGUUUGGAAACGAACGCUAAUACCGCAUAAUAAAGAAGAAUCGCAUGAUUGUUCUUUCAAAGAUUUUAUCGGCAUAGGAUGGACCCGCGUUGGAUUAGCUAGUUGGUGAGAUAACAGCCCACCAAGGCAACGAUCCAUAGCCGGCCUGAGAGGGUGAACGGCCACACUGGGACUGAGACACGGCCCAGACUCCUACGGGUGGCUG